rnacentral:rRNA from 1 species
UGGGGAAUCUUGGACAAUGGGGGCAACCCUGAUCCAGCGAUGCCGCGUGGGUGAAGAAGGCCUUCGGGUUGUAAAGCUCUUUAGGCUGGGAAGAAGUAUGCGAGAGGAAAUGCUCGUAUAUUGACGGUACCGGCAGAAUAAGCACCGGCAAACUCUGUGCCAGCAGCCGCGGUAAUACAGAGGGUGCAAGCGUUAAUCGGAGUUACUGGGCGUAAAGGGCGCGUAGGUGGUAUUGUGAGUGUGAUGUGAAAGCCCCGGGCUUAACCUGGGAAGUGCAUCGCAAACGACAGUACUAGAGUAUAUGAGAGGGUGGCGGAAUUUCCGGUGUAGCGGUGAAAUGCGUAGAGAUCGGAAGGAACGUCGAUGGCGAAGGCAGCUGCCUGGCAUAAUACUGACACUGAGGCGCGAGAGCGUGGGGAGCGAACAGG